GGCCCGCCGGCGGCCUUACCGCCUCCACGGCGUGCUGCAGGAUGGAGGUGAACUUGGAGAACAUCCUGUCCCGCGAUUGCAGCAGCCGCUGCCGGGAGGACCUCGAGAACUCCUCGAUCCGCCGCCGCCGCUCCAGGGCAUGGAAAGCUGCAGCCCAAAUACUCCAUGGAAGUAAAUACUAGUUGUACGUGGACACCUUUGUUGCAGUUGUUAAAGAGCAGAUCUAUUUUCUUCUUAAAAUCCACAGGUCCCAAUAUGUCAAUAUCAAUUUAAAAGGGAUGAUUCAAUUGGAGAUGAUGCAGUUAUGGAUGGGCUGCCAAUGUCAUGUCAUGUGCAACAAUGUAUCUUCACCUGCUCAUGCUUGAUGUUGUUUCCACUGAAAUAAACACAAGUACUACUACCUAUUUUAGUACCCUUGAGAGCCCAGUUCUGCUGACUUGGGGUUGAUUUUUUUU